rnacentral:rRNA from 1 species
GAUGAACGCUGGCGGCGUGCUUAACACAUGCAAGGCGAACGGGAAACCGGGGAGGGAAGCGGCGGCAGAGGGAGCGGGGGGCGAGGGGCGGACGGGGGAGGAACGCGGGGGGAACCGGCCGGAGACAGGGGGAGAACAGGCAGAAAUGGCUGCGAAUACCGCAUAAGCGCACAGAGCUGCAUGGCUCAGUGUGAAAAACUCCGGUGGUAUAAGAUGGACCCGCGUUGGAUUAGCUGGUUGGUGGGGUAACGGCCCACCAAGGCGACGAUCCAUAGCCGGCCUGAGAGGGUGCACGGCCACAUUGGGACUGAGACACGGCCCAGACUCCUACGGGAGGCCGCAGUGGGGAAUAUUGCACAAUGGGGGAAACCCUGAUGCCGCGCCGCCGCGUGCAGGCAGAAGUCUCUCGGUAUGUAAACUUCUAUCAGCAGGGAAGAUAAUGACGGUACCUGACUAAGAAGCCCCGGCUAACUACGUG